UACGUAGGGUGCGAGCGUUAAUCGGAAUUACUGGGCGUAAAGCGUGCGCAGGCGGUUUUGUAAGCCAGAUGUGAAAUCCCCGGGCUUAACCCGGGAACUGCAUUUGGGACUGCAAGGCUUGAGUGCGGCAGAGGAGACUGGAAUUCCUGGUGUAGCAGUGAAAUGCGUAGAUAUCAGGAGGAAUACCGAUGGCGAAGGCAGGUCUCUGGGCUGACACUGACGCUCAUGCACGAAAGCGUGGGGAGCAAACAGG
rnacentral:rRNA from 1 species